rnacentral:rRNA from 1 species
CCUACGGGGGGCUGCAGUGGGGAAUAUUGGACAAUGGGGGCAACCCUGAUCCAGCCAUGCCGCGUGUGUGAAGAAGGCCCUCGGGUUGUAAAACACUUUCAGUGAGGAAGAACGCCUGGUGGUUAAUACCCAUCAGGAAAGACAUCACUCACAGAAGAAGCACCGGCUAACUCCGUGCCAGCAGCCGCGGUAAUACGGAGGGUGCGAGCGUUAAUCGGAAUUACUGGGCGUAAAGCGCGCGUAGGUGGCUUGAUAAGCCGGUUGUGAAAGCCCCGGGCUCAACCUGGGAACGGCAUCCGGAACUGUCAAGCUAGAGUGCAGGAGAGGAAGGUAGAAUUCCCGGUGUAGCGGUGAAAUGCGUAGAGAUCGGGAGGAAUACCAGUGGCGAAGGCGGCCUUCUGGACUGACACUGACACUGAGGUGCGAAAGCGUGGGUAGCAAACAGGAUUAGAUACCCUAGUAGUC